AAGAUUAUACAAAAAGGAUAGCACUUUGAGACUAAUCUCAUAGAUGCAAUCGCAGUUUACAAACAUAAUUUACAUAUCUUAGCUGAAAAUAUUUUGACCUCAUACAAAAGAUUAUGCACUAGCCACUACAUCGAUUAAUAGCUACUAAUCAGGUUGACCACUUCCCUUCUCAAUUCACUUCGUUAAAAUCCACAAUGAAUCGUAAGAUUCUACAACUUUAAGAUCCUAUAAAGAUCGCCAAAUCCGAAUGAGGAGUCUAAAACCCAGCGUUAGAAAUACUUACAACUAUCAGUACUCAUUUACACAGAGUUGGUUUCAUGGAUGUGCGAUUAAGCUAAAAUUAAUGAAUAAGAUAAAAAAAAAAAAUGAGACUGUUGACAAGUCAAUUUGAUAUUAAUUAAUGAUAAUUAAGGGAAAGACGCUGACUAGGUGGUGAAGGCAUGUUCGAGAUGAUAAAGUAGAUCGGAUUUACUGGUUCAAUUAAAAAAAAUUGGAAUUUAGUCGCAAAAAAUCAAAAAAUUAAACCCAGUGAAAAUCACUUUUAGAACAGAUUAGUUCAGGCUCAAAAUCUGCCGAUUAAAUUCAAAAGCAGCAAAUCGCAUCCUAAUCUAGUCAAUUCAUCCCAAAAUUCCAUUUUCCCAUCCACAACAAAAGUCGAGAAGCAAGCGCGGUCUAAGUUCCUAAACCGUGAAGCAAGUUGUCAAAUUCUUGUCUAAACACUCAAUUAAAACAACCCCAGCACAUAUUUCCCCAAAUCUUCAAGUCUCUUAUAAUUUAAGCUGGACACAAAUUGGCAAAAGUACACAAAAAUUGAGAUGUUUGGGUUAUUUUACAUACAUGAACAAUACUGGUAGUGUGGUCGAAAAUGUUGAUGAGUGAUGGUGGAAGUGUUGCACUCUGACUGAGGGACGACCAGGCUUGGAGAGGAGGGGAGAAAGCACUUCGACUCGAAAAUGUUGAGGAGUGAUGGUGGAAGUGCUACACUCUGACCGAGGGACGGACGGGCAUGGAGAGGAGGGGAGAAAACCCUUUUUGAGCUGUCGAAAUAGGUGUGGUUUCUAGUAUUUCAAAGAAGGAUUUUGAUAACGGUCCCGCUACAUGUACAGCACUGUACACAGCUUUGUGUACAGUGCUGACCUGGAAAAUGAGAAAAAAAAUGAAAACAUUGUUUUUAAAUACUCGGCUGAAUAAUGCCUCAAUUAUUCUCAUUUUCUUCCUUCAUUCAUUUCAUCCCCAAAUCAAUUUGUCUCUCCUCUCUCCUCUGUCAUUUACAACUUGUUCCCCAAAUUGAAUCUCUCUCCUACCCACGACGAGUAACACACAACCGACCAGAAAUCCGGAUGACAUCCAUUGACGAAGAAGAAGGUAGAGCCAACUGUAAAUCGAGGCGACAACCUGAAAAAUUGCCAGCUCCGGUCGCGGGCAAAAUGAUUGCUAAAGAUAGUAAUAUGGUUACAUGUUGGUGUGGUUGUUUCAUGUGGUUGAAUUAGAGAAAUUCGACGGCAGGCAAGAAUAGGGGAAUAUGUCAUUGUUGUCGACAGAGGGGACAUACGUUGCUAGAAUGCCCGACAAAGAGAAGAUGCCCAAAUUGUGGUGACGGGUUCGUUAAGAGGAUGGAGGUCGAAAAGAAUAAUGACCAUAAAGGAUUGUUGUACCUGUGACUGUAAGUACUUCAAGUGGUGCAAUAAAUUCCCCAAGGAAAAGUGUCUGUUGCAUGAUGAUGGUGAAUCAAGUUGCAUCACAACUCCAAGUGAAGAAGCGGAUACUUUGUCGCAUAUGUUGAAAACACUCGCUAUGCUAAGCGAGGAGAAAGACCUAGAGAUUUUACUCCAAAUAAACAUGCGCAAAGGAAAACAAGUUUCAGAAAAUGAAAUGUGAAAGUCGUUGUGUUGGGAUGGUGAUCCGACGGUUUGUAUGUGGAGAUCGUUUAGGACUAAAAAGUGAAAGUGUCUUAACUGUUUGUAGUGAUGCAUGUAGAAAUGGUACGCAACUAUGUUAUUGUGGUCCUUUUUUUUACUAGUCGUUCGCCUUGAAUUAUCCUGAAGUUUUUGCGGUUUGUACUAUUAAACUUUCGUUGA